GCAUGGUUGCGUGUGCACUGCCCAGAUGCAGAGUGUGGACUUUGCUCAGAAGCACAGCAUCUGUGAAGCUUUCGGAAAUUAUCCCUCUGGCUCCAGCCCUUUCUAGAGAUCUCCACGCACAUCUCUGCAUGAAGGUUUCAGAGUCACUGGAUUUCCCAGGGCCUUCUCUUUGCUAGGAAUGUCUGAGACGCGCUCUGCAAGAUGAGUUGGCAGCAUCUCUGUGCCUCUGGUUUUGCCAGGCUCCACCAACAUCCCGCUAAGAACUCUUCACCCUCAAGUGCACUGAGGGGAACCCCAGUGAAGGCCAAUGAGGGAAACCACACAUCACUGAGGGCCGACGGAGGCCCCCAAAGCUCAGAUCGCUGUGCUCGCCAGUAGGUCCCCAGACACCCUUAACACAGCUAUCUGCAGGAUUGAAUGAUUGCUGGGACCACACAAUUUACACUUGGCUCUCGUGGUCCGGAGGGGAGGACUGCGCCAGCAUGAGAAGACCAGAGAGCAAGUAAAUGGAAAUUUGGCGAGAUCCUGUGGCUGCUGUUGGUGGCUGCAGCCAGACAGGAAAACUGAGAUGGUGUGAGCAGAAAGGGCUGGAAGGAGUUGGCUUUUUCCAAGAAAUUACAGCGGAAUCUUCUUCCAAGAGGCUGGGGGCCUCUGCAGACAUGAUCUCAUUACUUACCCCCCAAAUCCCCCAGCUUCCCUACGGACCAAGGACCAGGGGUCUCUGCCCAGUCCUAGCUCCAAGGAAACUCACACUUGGCAGAUUUUCCUAAUCGGAGCUGGCCUUGAAGUUUGCUCACUGAUAAUCACCAGAAAGUCACCCCAACAAUGGGUGAUGCCAGAGUGUCCUCAAGCUUCAAGGGUCCGUAAAAACACUUGACUCCCCCAGGACAAAAAUGACUGGGGGAAACAUGCAGUUCUUCAAAGAGAACGGUUUCAUUCUGUACCAAA
rnacentral:lncRNA from 1 species